AUGGCCUCUCCGCCGGCCCCUCCACCUCUCCCGGCGCGGCCUCUCUUUACCGCGGCCGAGUUCAACGCCGCCAGAUCGCCUUCUGCCUCCUCUUCCUCCUCCAACCCUAGUUCCCUUACCCAUCACCAAUAUGCCAUUCCGCCACCAACAAUCUCUCUAGCAGAUACAAUUGCCGAUGUUGUGCCGUUCAUACCCAUCUCGCUUGAUCUGGCUGCCCACAAUUACUACCAUUGGCGCCAUCUCUUCCACAUCCACCUUGGCCGCUGCGGUCUACGCCACCAUAUUCAUCCAUCCUCUGUCCCGCAGCCUGCCAAUCCUCGUUGGGUGAAGGACGAUCUUACGAUCAUCCAAUGGAUUUAUACUCGGAUCUCCACCGAGCUUUUCAAUCUUGUCUCCAACGACGACGCCACCGCAGCCGAUCUUUGGGCCGCCCUCCAACAACUGUUUCAAGACAACUCCGACGCCCGCAUCAACGCUCUUCACACCGAGCUCCGCACCAUCACCCAAGGAGACUCCCCGGUCACCGUCUUCUGCCAGCGGAUCAAGUCGAUCGGUGAUGAACUCCGGCAACUUGGCGAUCACGUCGACGACCGCGUUCUUAUAAACGCUCUUCUCGUUGGUCUUGGCGAGCAAUUCGAGAAACAGGUGGCCUUCAUCCCCAUGUUGCGGCCCUACCCGUCCUUCGGCGAGGUGCGCUCUCUCCUUCAGCUCGAGGCUCAGAAUCAAGCUCGCAAGGCCACUCGUCUGCAAGUGUUUCACGCCAGCACCAAGUCUUCGGCGCCAGCUCCAUCCACUCCGUCGGCGGCCCCUGUCCAGCCACCUCCAGGCUGGCGCCCGAGCCCUAACUACCGCGGGAAGAAUCCCGUCUACCGGCCGCCCCAGCCUCGCUCGGCCAGCUCCUCGGCAUCAUCAUCGUCUACACCGUCCUCUACUCCAACGGCAUCUACUCCAACGGCAUGGCACCAGCAGCAAGAUCCCUGGACCGGGCUGGUUCAGGCGUGGCCCAUGCCUUGGUCUGCUCCGUCUCCUUACGACGCUCCUCCAGCAUACACGGGCGCCUGGAGCCCGGGCCAUCGUCCUGCCACCGGCUCACCUGGUCUCCUCGGACCCCGAUCGCCGGCUCACGUCUACACCGCCACUACUACACCGACCACGUCCGGCGCCCCCAUGAUUCCGCCCGGCUACGCCCUGGUUCCCUAUGCGCCUGGUGCUCCUUCGGCUCCGUCACCGUACGCAUAUGGGCAGCAUGCACCAAUGAACAUGCCUGCUCCCUCUCCUACGACAACAUCGCCAAGCUGGGAUCAGGCUGCUUUUAUCGCCGCCAUGAACAAUUUCACCCUCAACAACGAAGGAUCUGACAACGGGGGAGGUUCUAGCUCGGUACAAUAG
rnacentral:rRNA from 1 species